AAUCAAUUGAAAGGCGUUUCUAGGUUUGCAUCGUUUUCUACUAAACAAAUUUAAUUACUGAGUAAGUUCAUCCCUGAUUAGAAUGAACAAUUAUUGUAUUAGGUGACAAAUUUUGGGUUGGCAAUAGACAAAGAUUCAUGGGGAUUGCAUGAGUCCUGGAUCAAUUAUGUAAGAAAAUAAAUUGCUUUCAAGCUAUAAACAGUUAACAGACAGUGACAUAUAUAUAAAACUCAUUCAUAAAACACAUUGAAAGAAAAAACAAAGCAUACAUGUAUGGAUCUAACAUUGUUUUAGACUUUACAUUCUUCUAAGUAUUUUAGGAAAAAACUUCUGUAAAUCGUUUCAAAUUGAAGUUGAGGAUGAAGAUUGAAGACCUCGAUGAAGAAGAAGCUCUAACAUAGAUCUCGGUUUGCUGGAAGUGCACUAACAGGUGAUAGACUAGUAAGUCUUUUUCUUUUGUGGUCAAUCAAUAUAUCUUUGGAUUGGAGGUGGACAUUUUUCUAUAGUAAUUUAACUCUGUUGAGAAACUUCAACGUUAAGUUUGUUUUCAUUAAUGUUUUUGCAACAAACAAUUAUCAGUGUUUAUCUUCUUCAUACAAGAUGUUAUUGAGAAUCCUUUAACUUAUUUUUACUUUUGAUCACCUUGGAGUUUUAACAUCAAACUCAAAAUGAGUGUUCUUAAUAGGAAAAAUCAAUUGACUUAUUUAUAAAAGGAAAUUGAAAUAGGUGUACCUCUAUUUGUACCAACCUGGUCAAAAAAAAAAAAAAAAAAAGGGAGAAAAAGGGUCCAUGAAUGCUUCUUAGUUUGUCUUGAAUGUUGAUGCAAGUGAUAAAUAUCAGUUGUUGAUGUAUUAUUUGAGUCCUUAUAAAAAUCAUACCGAUACAUACUUAUAUCGAGUACAAAGUAUCUAGGACGGAGACUAUUCCAUUAUUAAUUUCUUUUUAGCUUGAUAGAAUAUUUUUAAUAAUGUGUGAAACUGUGAAUCUAUGAAGUGAUACCAAUAGAAUUUUGAUUUAUUUUUUGUGUAUUUCCGACUUUUUUGAUAUUCCUAAAUAUACCUUUUAAGUGUUGUUUGUGGAAUUGUUGUGGAUGGAUGUUGUAUGUCGUUAACCAACUUUAGAGAAAGAAAGCCAUUAAGGUGAUUGCAAUACCUACAGUUGUGGUGACACCCAGUUGCAACCCAAGACAACUGUACCAUAGUGACAAGUUUGGAACAAUAAGAUAGUUCUUGGAUUAACAGUAUCGUGAUGGUCACCUCAAGUCUGGAGCAUAUUCUUCACAAAAAACUUUAUAGCCUCAUGUUCAAUAUCAGCAUUGUAACUACCAAUUUGGACCUUUUUAAAUAAAGAUUUAGACCAUAUUUGUUUUUAUUGAAUUUAGUAUGAAAUCUUGGUGAACACUAUUUUUUUACGUCUUAGAUAUUGUGUUAUUAUUUUUCCAUUUGCUAUCUCAUUUGUUGAUUUGCCUGUUUCAUUCCUUUUGCUUCACAGGUCUCUCAAGAACUUUUACAAAAUAGUACCUACCAAAAUCACAUAUCGACUUGAGGCUUGCUGCUCAUUUUAUUUCUUUGUCUUCACUUACUUCAAUAUGCACCAGCACCACUGCCUAACAUUUUCUAUCCAAUAAACUCAUUGUCUAACCCUGUAUCUUCUACUUCUAAUAAUGCAUUGUAAUACUAGCCCAGUCCGGGCGUAGCCCGGGCCUUACCUGCUAGUAUGAAAAUAAGCAAGAGAUCGUUAUAAAGCAGAAAACAGCGGAAAACAGCUAUUAUAUUCCGGGACAAAUACUAAAAAUUAUAAAAAUAAAACAGAAUAAUAUAUUCGAACUGUUGUCCAG
rnacentral:lncRNA from 1 species